rnacentral:misc_RNA from 1 species
GAAAUGCGAUACGUAAUGUGAAUUGCAGAAUUCAGUGAAUCAUCGAAUCUUUGAACGCACCUUGCGCCCCUUGGCAUUCCGAGGGGCACACCCGUUUGAGUGUCGUGAAAUCUUCAAAAACCCUCUCUUUUGAGGGGGAUUUUUGGACUUGGAGGUUCAAUGCUCGCUUUCGCCUUUUAGAAAGCGAGCUCCUCUCAAACGAAUCAGUGGGGUCUGCUUUGCCGGUCCUUGACGUGAUAAGAUCUUUCUACGUUUUGGAUUCGACAUCGUCCCGCUUCCAAUCGUCCCACGGACAAAGGAUGGUGCUCCGGUCGCGGCCGGACCCACCAAAAAAACCUUGACCUCAAAUCGGGUGAGACUACCCGCUGAACUUAA